GAACUGUUAAAACUUGAUUUCUCACCUGUUUUGAAGAAAACAGCCCAUCCUUCUCACAUAUAUAUACAUGGCGAGCUGCAUGAAGUGCAGGUCAGCAGGUGGAUUAGGUCCACUCGAUGCUAGAGCAGGUGGCCGUACAAGAGUUUAUGGUCUCUUUACAUGAGUGGACUUCCACUGAGCACUGCUAUGGGGAUACGCAUGUCACUGUUGUGCGUCCUGCUAUGCAGGAGGCUUCAACUAAACGUUCGUUAGCUCGUUCCAACUCCAGAAGCAAUGUGAUGGUCUACUUUCUGUCAAUUCGUGAGAUGUAGAGUUAUCUGUUUCGUGCCGAAGCAAGUUGAGUUGGUGUAUUAUUUCGUGCUCCUUCCAGCUCGAAGAACCAUAUGAGGGCGUCUUGCUGUAAGGCUACACCUACCUAGAUAUCUGGCUAUUAUCAGAAUUUUACUUUUAGUUGAGUAGUUGCAUUAUUUAUGCUUUCCUACUUGGUCUUUGAUAAUGAAUGUAUGGUCCUCGCUAGCAACCGAUUCUUUGCUGUCCAUAUUUUGGCCUAUUUUUAUCUUGUGCGUUCUCAUA